rnacentral:rRNA from 1 species
GAUGAACGCUGGCGGCGUGCCUAAUACAUGCAAGUCGAGCGAACAGACGAGAGUGCUUGCACUCUCUGACGUUAGCGGCGGACGGGUGAGUAACACGUGGGUAACCUACCUAUAAGACUGGGAUAACUUCGGGAAACCGGAGCUAAUACCGGAUAAUAUUUAGCUUCGCAUGAAGCAAUAGUGAAAGACGGUUCUGCUGUCACUUAUAGAUGGACCCGCGGUGUAUUAGCUAGUUGGUGAGGUAACGGCUCACUAAGGCAACGAUACAUAGCCGACCUGAGAGGGUGAUCGGCCACACUGGGACUGAGACACGGCCCAGACUCCUACGGGAGGCAGCAGUAGGGAAUCUUCCGCAAUGGACGAAAGUCUGACGGAGCAAUGCCGCGUGAGUGAAGAAGGUUUUCGGAUCGUAAAACUCUGUUGUAAGGGAAGAACAAGUACGUUAGUAACUGAACGUACCUUGACGGUACCUUACCAGAAAGCCACGGCUAACUACGUG